rnacentral:lncRNA from 1 species
UUAAAGUGGAAGUCAAGUCCGUAUUGUAAACAAACGGUUUGUUUACAUUUUGAACUGCUGUAUUUUUUAAAAUAUGAUGUACUGUCUGAAUAUCUAACACAAUUUUGGUUCGCUAUGCUUCUAAAUGAAUAUGAAAUAGAGUUUAUGUUCAGAAAAAUUCGAAACAUUCGAAAUUUGGGCAAUGUUCACAUUAGAGGCCCUCACAUUGUUAUGAGCAGAACCGAUGCGCAGAACGGACUUGACUUCCACUUUAAGAUAUUACAAUUUAUAUUUUAAAAAUAUUACCGAAACAUUUAACAAAUUACGGUACAUUUCCUCGAAAGUAACUGAAAAAUGGUAGGUCCGGAAAUAUUUUGAACUCCCCCCCCCCCCGGCAACAAUUUUUGGGGAAAAAGAUUAGACCCUAGCACGUCCCUGAAUAGUAUAACCACGCACUACUUGCGUGCUCAUAAAUCUUCAAAAAAGAUACAUAGAUCCCGAUAAAAACAAAGCAAUCAAUUAUAUUAACUGUAUUGUAUUGACUAUUGUUAACUGUCUAUACAUAAGAAUACAUGGCGAUUCAACAUGCCAUGGAACGAUAUGGAUAAUUGUAUCCACCAAAAACUGGCAUAGAAAGACAAGAGUCCAUAAUGCCAGCCUAGACCUAGGGCCCUCUAUUUCUAAUUCAGCCUAUUCACAUACGCUUCGUGACGCCAUGAAGUAGAUUAACCGGCAAAUCAAGAGCAACUUGCCGAGUAAAGGCCCUACGUCUAGGCUAAGGCUUAUUUAUAUUCAGGACAACGCUAUUCACCAGGGUGAUCCAAGUAUUAAGAGUGUAGGAAAGCCGGAUAGCGCUAUCCAGCGGAUACAGUGAUUUUCAACCUUUGUAAAAAUGCUUGGAAAGUUAUAAAACACGGAUAUUGACCUCACAAAUAAUAAUUUAAAAACAAAUUUACAUUAAUUUAUAAAUACCAAAGUUUAAUCUGAGUUAUACUAAUUCUAGUAAAACCACUAUCCGGCGGAUAGCGCCAUCCGGCCUCUGUUUACACGAGGUUGGGUAACACUAUCGAUAUAGGGGUAUUCUGUCAUUGUAUAAUAUAACUCUUCCAUAACCUGGUCACCUGAGUUGCUGUAUUUGAAAAUGGCUCCAAAGCGACAAUUUGUAUAUGUUCGCCCUUGUUUGCUGCAUUUCAACGUUGCGACUUGUGUUGUGGUCUUUUACUUCGUGCGAAUAAAACGUGACGUUACAGUUGCGAGGUUGGUUGGGAAUUUGGGAACUAUAAACACGAGAUCAUCAAGUUGAUUGGAAACCGGCCAAUCAAAUUCGGAAGUUUCGCAUCAAAUUAUCGAAAUUCGUUGUGAAAUUCCAAACCAAGUUCGCAAGCAAGUUCGCAAAUUGCAAACGAUUUUGGCGGUCAAUUUUAAAAACUAAACUUAUUGUAUUAAACUUAUUCAUUUAAUAAUAAAUAAUAUCAUAAUGAAUAAUUUCAGGUUUAAAAUUAUAAUAAGUUUAAUACAAUACGUUUAGUUUUUAAAAUUGACCGCCAAAAUCGUUUGCAAUUUGCGAACUUGCUUGCGAACUUGGUUCGGAAUUUCAUAACGAAUUUUGAUAAUUUGAUGCGAAACUUCCGAAUUUGAUUGGCCGGUUUCCAAUCAACUUGAUUAUCUCGUGUUUAUAGUUCCCCAAUUCCCAACCAAACUCGCAAUUGGCGUGGCCAAAGUUUCGUGAAAUCAACUGUAACUGUUAGGAUAACUAUACGUAACGUAACUUAUAUACCCCAUCAGUUUGACAGCGUACCAUAUAGGUUCGAAAUCACCUUAUGCCACAUGGAGAGCACAAUGGGCGUCAAUCUAUCCCAAGAAGUGGGGGGUGACGGACUCCAAACUAGGAAGGUCAGGAGGUAUGCUUUUAAAUUUUGGUACACUGAAACGGCAUUCCCAGCGUUUUGGAGGCACUUAUAAAGUUAUAUUAAAAUGUGCAUGAUCUUAAAUCCAUUUUUAACCAUGUGAGAAAUCCGCUAAAAACCAACAUGCCCUAGCCUGUGAACAGACGUUACUCUCGACGAAGCGCGCGCUCGACGAGAGUAACGUCUGUUCACAGGCUAACAUCUCCUCACCCUUAUUUUAACGAUAAUAAUCUAUUAAAUUAACCAUUUGCCUUAUUUUAACGAUAAUCAUCUAUUUAAGGGAAACUCAGUUAAAACGCAAUUAUUUUUAAGUAUUUACAAUUUUACAUAACAUAUGCAUGAUGUCAGUAUUUGCUCCCAGCGGCUACAGAAAGAUCAUACGUUGUACUUCUUAUUAUUAAAUGUCUUCCUUUCAAUCACAAUUUUUGAUGAAUAGCAUACCAGGCAUUAGGGGCGCUUUCCAUUUAAUGGCCUGACCGGUCAGACACGAAUUCUUUUCUCUGUAUCAAUGGGAAGAUCUGGUCUAUAUUUCUCAAAUAUCUAAGGAAAAUGGACCUCAUUCUAAUUUUAUCUAAAUGUUCCGGUCAGAUAGCUCCGAAGCCCAAACGUUCUGUGCCCAUUCAACAAUUUGACCGUUCUGACCGGUCUGGCCGUGUUAGUGGAAAGCGCCCUAGCUUUUUAGAUAACCAAGAAACAAAAUUUCAUUAAAUAUGUCAAAAAGUGUGUGUGUGUGUGUGUGUGUGUGAGGGGGGGGGGUAAUUAGAUAUUCGUCCCCCCUCCAAAAAACUGGGGGGGGGACGCGUCCCCCCCCAGGAUUGACGCCCAUGGAGAGCACAUGUACAAUAAGGCAAUCCGUUUACAAAAGUAACCGGGCCAGACCCUGCCGCCAGUAAUCGUGUUUACACUACGACAGAGAUGAAUUUGAAGGGAAUGCAGUGCGGGGGGCGGGACCCCUCCGAGGUAAGGCAAAGAGAGGAGCACCGCGAUAAUUUCCCUACGGAUUUGGAAAGGCAAUUAAAAAACAAAUAUAAAAUAGAUUAUAUUGCCUGGCUGCCAUAGCUCACUAUAGUAAUUACGCACUUGAACCAAUGUCGCACCCUGAAGCAUGGCCAAAGCUCAAUGAGCACCCCCAUCCAACAGCCAUCCCUGCACUACAAACAUGUUAAGUGUGGCUCUGCCAAUAGUCUUCUGUCUCUUCCAAUGUGCUGUUUUUAAUGUCUGCAUGCCUUAAUGUUGUUAAUGUAUGUAUACGUUUGUAUGUUUAGUUGGUAAUUGCAUAUAUGGUAAUUGUAAUCGUUAAUAUUGUUAAGUUGAUAUUAAACUUAAUGUAUUAUAGUUGUUGUGGUUUCCAAGCCUGUUGAGGCAAAGUGUAAUAAAUAAAUAAACAUAGGCCUGGCGUUAUCCAAGUUCUUGCAUUAAUGACUGGCUGACUAGUUUAAUCAGUCAAUUAGUGCAAGGAAAACCAAAUUAGGCCAAAGUAUUACCCGUACUCCAUGCAAACAGGCCUUAACAUAACUUACAAGCUACCAGUAAGAAUUUGAGUCCAAAAAGAGAAGCCAAAGAUGGCGGAAAUUGACGUCCAGUGCCACUUUUUAUUAUUCUUGUCUGCGCAGUUAACGACCUUCAUAGAUUUUGGACGUCAACUUCCGCCAUCUUGGUUUCACCUUCUCAUAAGUCGAACGACUGCAGUUCUUACUCCAGAUAUGUAUAAAGCUCACUGCCCAAAGCAUAAACAAGCGCUAACUGACUUUGUCUAUUAACAACUGCGUUUGUCAACAUUUGGUAUUAAAGUGUAAGAAAGUCUAACGUAUAGUAUAAACAAUAGGAUACCAGUGACAUGGGGCGUAUGUGGUAACUCAAGCGACAGAUGGAAUCAAACCGAAACAUCACGUAGUUUGUUCAUCAUCUCCAACAAACUCUUUCGCUUUUUCCUUCGUAAUAGCGUCAAUAUGACUCACUUUGUUUCUGAAGCGGACACCGUAGAAUUUAUCUGAAGCUUCGAGUAAUUCCGCACGGAAUGUUGUCGUAAUAAACUGGGCUUUUUCAGAUUGCUUUUUUAUCAUUUCU